UACGAAGGGUGCAAGCGUUACUCGGAAUUACUGGGCGUAAAGCGUGCGUAGGUGCUUCGCAAGUCAGACGUGAAAUCCCCGGGCUUAACCUGGGAAUGGCGUUUGAAACUACGGAGCUGGAGUGUGGCAGAGGGGGGUAGAAUUCCACGUGUAGCGGUGAAAUGCGUAGAUAUGUGGAGGAAUACCGAUGGCGAAGGCAGCCCCCUGGGCCAACACUGACGCUCAUGCACGAAAGCGUGGGGAGCAAACAGG
rnacentral:rRNA from 1 species